rfam:Gossypium raimondii chromosome 11, whole genome shotgun sequence.
GGUUUUGUGGCGAAGUUUGUUAUGACGUCAGUCUAACACACUGAAGGCUUACGGUUCGAGUCCGGGCGAAGCCA